CCGCCGGGAUGGCCACGGCCGCCCGGGGCGACCUACCUGUGGUCAGCCGUGCACCGACCUCCUUCGGGGAACACACGACCAGGUUCGCGAAACAGGGCGUAGUGAGGCCAAGGGCCGACAUCGAGACCUGCGCGCGAC
rnacentral:ncRNA from 1 species